GACGAACGCUGGCGGCGUGCUUAACACAUGCAAGUCGAACGCAUCCUUCGGGGUGAGUGGCAGACGGGUGAGUAACGCGUGGGAACGUGCCCUUCAGUUCGGGAUAACCCAGGGAAACUUGGGCUAAUACCGGAUACGUGCGAGAGCAGAAAGAUUUAUCGCUGAAGGAUCGGCCCGCGUCUGAUUAGCUAGUUGGUGGGGUAAUGGCCCACCAAGGCGACGAUCAGUAGCUGGUCUGAGAGGAUGAUCAGCCACAUUGGGACUGAGACACGGCCCAAACUCCUACGGGAGGCAGCAGUGGGGAAUAUUGGACAAUGGGCGCAAGCCUGAUCCAGCCAUGCCGCGUGAGUGAUGAAGGCCUUAGGGUUGUAAAGCUCUUUCGUCCGGGACGAUAAUGACGGUACCGGAAGAAGAAGCCCCGGCUAACUUCGUGCCAGCCGCCGCGGUAA
rnacentral:rRNA from 1 species